rnacentral:rRNA from 1 species
GACGGGGGGGGCAAGUGUUCUUCGGAAUGACUGGGCGUAAAGGGCACGUAGGCGGUGAAUCGGGUUGAAAGUGAAAGUCGCCAAAAAGUGGCGGAAUGCUCUCGAAACCAAUUCACUUGAGUGAGACAGAGGAGAGUGGAAUUUCGUGUGUAGGGGUGAAAUCCGUAAAUAUACGAAGGAACGCCAAAAGCAAAGGCAGCUCUCUGGGUCCCUACAGACGCUGGGGUGCGAAAGCAUGGGGAGCGAACAGG